rnacentral:rRNA from 1 species
GGAAUCUUGGACAAUGGGGGAAACCCUGAUCCAGCGACGCCGCGUGACCGAUGAAGCCCCUCGGGGUGUAAAGGUCUUUCAGCGGGGACUAUUAUGAAGGUACCCGCAGAAGCAGCUGCGGCUAACUACGUGCCAGCAGCCGCGGUAAUACGUAGGCAGCGAGCGUUGUUCGGAAUUACUGGGCGUAAAGCGAGUGUAGGCCGUCUGCCAAGUCCUCCGUGAAAUCUCCCGGCUCAACUGGGAGGGUGCGGCGGAAACUGGCAGGCUUGAGUGCGGGAGAGGAGAGUGGAAUUCCUGGUGUAGCGGUGAAAUGCGUAGAUAUCAGGAGGAACACCGGUGGCGAAGGCGGCUUCCUGGACAGAAACUGACGCUGAGGCGCGAAAGCUAGGGGAGCAAAC